rnacentral:rRNA from 1 species
UACGAAGGGGGCUAGCGUUGCUCGGAAUCACUGGGCGUAAAGCGCACGUAGGCGGACUCUUAAGUCGGUGGUGAAAUCCCAAGGCUCAACCUUGGAACUGCCUUUGAUACUGGGGAUCUUGAGUCCGGGAGAGGUGAGUGGAACUGCGAGUGUAGAGGUGAAAUUCGUAGAUAUUCGCAAGAACACCAGUGGCGAAGGCGGCUCACUGGCCCGGUACUGACGCUGAGGUGCGAAAGCGUGGGGAGCGAACAGG